AUACAUACUCAUUUUCUCUUGUUUUAAACGAUUUUUAGCCAUAUCAAAACCAGACAACAUAUCAUAGCUAUGUGCAACUCUUUUUAAGUUACCUAAUCCCAGAAAAAUCAGAAAACAAAUACAAGAUGAUGCAUUUAUUUCACUUGGUAAAUAAGGAAUAAACAGGUGAAAGGGACUUAAACACAUUCUACUCAUUUCUCGGCCUCUGUGGUUGAAGAAGAAGAUACAGCAUUCAUCUAUAGUUGCAUAAGGCGGUGGCUACUGUUAACAGCAAAACUGAGACUUGAAUCCACUUCACUGCAGCACAGCACCCUUCAUAACAUAUUUCCGUCCUGCUUCUAGGUAUUGUUUUCCUUUAGUUUCUCAAUACAAAGUAUUCUAGACAUACACUCACUGGAUAUAGAAAAAUAAGAAUAAAGUUGUGUUUUCUUAAAGAGAUCAAUAAAGGUCACACCUAAAAAUUACCUUAUAAGAUUAUAUGUGGUCAGAUUUUAACUAAUAACAAAAUAUAGUAAUAGCUUGUCAUUAUUACCAUUAUUUUUCAACAGCCCUCUGUUCCAGGCAUUUUAGCUCAGUUAUCUCCAUUUCUCACAAGUAAGCAAGGUAGAUUUUAUUAGCUCCACUUUUCAAAUGAGGAAAGUGAAAUUCAGUGUGCCAUAGCACAUUGCCCAAGGUCACACAACUAGGAAGAGUAAUGGACAGAAUGGAUGUCCAAGGUCAUCAAUGCCAGCACCUGUGCUUUCUCUUGUGCUGCACAACCCUCUGUAGGUAACAAUGGAAGAACUCUAAUAAUCACUCAUGUAACUGAACUUAUCUUAGGCUUAUGUAAAAUUUUCCAUGAUCAUAAUGUGAGCUGGGUUCCAGGCCAAUCUCUGCCACUCUAAGAAAACAAGGUGACAGUGAUGAGGUGUUUGAAUGCCUUGUUAUUAAAGAAACAAGUUCUUGUUUACUUAACUGGAACCAGGAAUACAUCAAUUCUGGCCAGAGUGUUAGAAGAAAAGCACCCCUCUGACACGCAGAAUUAGGAUAAUCUCUACAUUAGAAGGGCAGAGAGGGGAGGAACAAACUGUAAGACAAAAAUAAAAUAUUUUGCAUUUGUUUCUUCGUGGAACGGGCAUCUUAGAAAGCUUUACAAUUGUAAUUAACUAUUGUGCAUUGUCUGGCUUUGAGAUGGCUUAAAAACAUUUAAAAGCAGGAGAAAAGCCCAUUGUGAGGGCUUAGAAAGUAAAAAAUUCUCCUGUGAUCCCUGACAGAAUGCGAACAUCAUUUCAGGGCUUAUUAUACUUUUGUCAGGGAAAG